rnacentral:rRNA from 1 species
CCUACGGGUGGCAGCAGUGGGGAAUAUUGCACAAUGGGGGAAACCCUGAUGCAGCGACGCCGCGUGAAGGAAGAAGUAUUUCGGUAUGUAAACUUCUAUCAGCAGGGAAGAAAAUGACGGUACCUGACUAAGAAGCCCCGGCUAACUACGUGCCAGCAGCCGCGGUAAUACGUAGGGGGCAAGCGUUAUCCGGAUUUACUGGGUGUAAAGGGAGCGUAGGCGGUUUAGCAAGUCAGAAGUGAAAGCCCGGGGCUCAACUCCGGGACUGCUUUUGAAACUGUUGAACUAGAUUGCAGGAGAGGUAAGUGGAAUUCCUAGUGUAGCGGUGAAAUGCGUAGAUAUCAGGAGGAACACCGGCGGCGAAGGCGGCCUGCUGGACCGCGACUGACGUUGAGGCUCGAAAGCGUGGGGAGCGAACAGGAUUAGAUACCCGAGUAGUC